rnacentral:rRNA from 1 species
ACACAUGCAAGUCGAGGGGCAGCGGGAUUGAAGCUUGCUUCAAUUGCCGGCGACCGGCGCACGGGUGAGUAACGCGUAUCCAACCUUCCGUACACUCAGGGAUAGCCUCUCGAAAGAAAGAUUAAUACCUGAUGGUAUGAUGAGAUUGCAUGAUAGCAUCAUUAAAGAUUUAUCGGUGUACGAUGGGGAUGCGUUCCAUUAGGUAGUAGGCGGGGUAACGGCCCACCUAGCCUACGAUGGAUAGGGGUUCUGAGAGGAAGGUCCCCUACAUUGGAACUGAGACACGGUCCAAACUCCUACGGGAGGCAGCAGUGAGGAAUAUUGGUCAAUGGACGAGAGUCUGAACCAGCCAAGUAGCGUGAAGGAUGAAGGUCCUACGGAUUGUAAACUUCUUUUAUAAGGGAAUAAAACCUCCCACGUGUGGGAGCUUGUAUGUACCUUAUGAAUAAGCAUCGGCUAACUCCGUGCCAGCAGCCGCGGUAAUACGGAGGAUGCGAGCGUUAUCCGGAUUUAUUGGGUUUAAAGGGAGCGCAGACGGGUCGUUAAGUCAGCUGUGAAAGUUUGGGGCUCAACCUUAAAAUUGCAGUUGAUACUGGCGUCCUUGAGUGCGGUUGAGGUGUGCGGAAUUCGUGGUGUAGCGGUGAAAUGCUUAGAUAUCACGAAGAACUCCGAUUGCGAAGGCAGCACACUAAGCCGUAACUGACGUUCAUGCUCGAAAGUGUGGGUAUCAAACAGGAUUAGAUACCCUGGAAGUCCACACGGUAAACGAUGGAUACUCGCUGUUGGCGAUAUACGGUCAGCGGCUUAGCGAAAGCGUUAAGUAUCCCACCUGGGGAGUACGCCGGCAACGGUGAAACUCAAAGGA